rnacentral:misc_RNA from 1 species
GAUGAAGAACGCAGCGAAAUGCGAUAAGUAAUGUGAAUUGCAGAAUUCAGUGAAUCAUCGAAUCUUUGAACGCACAUUGCGCCCGUCAGUAUUCUGGCGGGCAUGCCUGUUCGAGCGUCAUUACGCCCCUCAAGUCCCCUGUGGACGUGGUGUUGGGGAUCGGCGAGGCUGGUUUUCCAGCACAGCCGUCCCUUAAAUUAAUUGGCGGUCUCGCCGUGGCCCUCCUCUGCGCAGUAGUAAAACACUCGCAACAGGAGCCCGGCGCGGUCCACUGCCGUAAAACCCCCCAACUUUUUAUAGUUGACCUCGAAUCAGGUAGGACUACCCGCUGAACUUAAGCAUAUCAAUAAGCGGAGGA